UACGUAGGGCGCAAGCGUUGUCCGGAAUUAUUGGGCGUAAAGAGCUCGUGAGGCGGUUUUGUCACGUCGGCUGUGAAAACCCGAGGCUCAACCUCGGGUCUGCAGUCGAUACGAGCAAACUAGAGUGUUGCAGGGGAGACUGGAAUUCCUGGUGUAGCGGUGAAAUGCGCAGAUAUCAGGAGGAACACCGGUGGCGAAGGCGGGUCUCUGGGCCGAUACUGACGCUGAGGAGCGAAAGCGUGGGGGAGCAAACAGG
rnacentral:rRNA from 1 species